rnacentral:lncRNA from 1 species
GACGAGUGCGGCCAGGAAGACAACGUCGUACUUGGCGAGCUCGCCGGCGAGGUCCGCGACGUCGGCCGUGUGGAACGACAUGCGGGCACCCACGUCCGCAUCCGCGCGGAAGAGCUUGCUGGCGCGAUCGUUGGCCGCGCCGCACAGGUCAUAGUUGUCGAACAUGGUGUCGGGCAGGUGGCGCGCGGCCAGGACAAAGGAGCUGAACGGCAGCGGGCCGGAGCCGAUGAACGCGACGCGGGCCGGGGCGAUGCCGCCAGGCACGUAGCGGGCCAGGAGCUCGUACUCGAGCUUGCUGAGGUUGAUGUAGUUGUUGUAGUAGGGGAACAUGCCGAGGUGAUCCAGCGGCUUGUCGAAGGCGGCGAGCAUGUCGGAGUAGUGCGCCUCCAGCUUCCCCUCGGCCUCGGAGCAUAGGCGGAUGAGGCCCUCCCGCAUCUCCUGCGCCUCCGGCCCGAGCUUGGUCACGUCCACUGGACUCGGUGGAACGCACGCC